rnacentral:lncRNA from 1 species
UUUUCCAGUUAACAUUACAUACAGUCUGCAGUUAAAGUUUAUAAAACAUUUAUUAGAUUCAUACACUAUCCUGGAUUUUUUACCAAACUUGGAAGCUUCUUUCAAACAAAAGACAGUAUCGAGAGGGAAAUUUUUAUUGAUGUUUUUCCUCAUUUUUGUUGAGUCUGCGAUUACCAGCAAAAGUAGGCGAGACACUGGGUUCCGUGGAACCCUUACGAAUUUUACUCAAAAAGUAGCACAUGAAGGUAUAUUUUAUUGUAGUUUCCAGUCAAUAAUUUGUGUUUAAGUGUAUAAAUCUCUCUGAAAUUAUACCACAAGUUUCCUUACUACAAAGGGUUGGUUAUGAGGGGUUAUGGCUCAAAUCAUUUAGCAGUUUAGGGGGAAAACAAGGGUUUUACUGGCAAUUUAAAAGUAGUGUAAGGGAGGUAAGCCAAUUCCAUUUAAAGAGUACUGUUAUAUAUGUUUGAUUACCUCCCUUACACUGCUUCAAAAUUAUGUAUAAAGAAAUGAUGAUUGUCUUGUGAGAUGAUUAGCUGCAAA